rnacentral:rRNA from 1 species
UCUUUGACUCCUGGUGGCUUCUGCAUCUCCCAAGAAAAAUAUAUUCAGGAUCUUCUUGCUCGCGCUACUCUCGGUGAUGAGCGCACUGUUGUCACUCCCAUGGAGCUCAAUGUUCAGCUUCGUGCCUCUGAUGGUGACCCUCUCCCUAAUCUCACUCGCUAUCGUCAUGUUGUUGGCAGUCUUGUCUAUCUUGUUGUUGCACGUCCUGACAUCUCCUAUCCUGUCCACAUUCCGAGUCAGUUUGUCUCAGCCCCCAUCUCUGUCCACUAUAGUCAUCUCCUCCGUGUUCUACGAUAUCUUCGUGGCACGAUCUCUCAGCGCCUUUUCUUUCCCCGCUCCAGCUCUCUUGAUCUCCAGGCCUACUCUGAUGCUACAUGGGCUAGUGAUCCCUCUGAUCGACGCUCACUGUCUGCUUAUUGUGUCUUUCUUGGUGGCUCUCGUAUUGCCUGGAAGACAAAGAAACAGACUGCAGUUUCUCGCUCGAGUACAGAGGCUGAUUUGCGAGCCAUGGCUAUGCUCACGGCUGAGGUGAUCUGGUUACGGUGGCUACUUGAGGAUUUUGGUGUGUCUGCUACUACAUCAACU